AAUUAUGAUAUUACGUCGAACUAUGGAAGCUUCUAGAACCACUGAUAGUUAAUGCUGUUGCAAAGCGAGCUUGUGAGCUAGCAGUAUAAUUUUGCUGGUCGUCCUGAUUUACGUAAUCGAAAGAAAUGUUUGUAGAGCAUGCUUUGGCAUGCAAAUAAAGCUCCAGGUGUAAGAAUUUGAUUUUUUAAUGAUCGUUGUAAGCUUGUGCCUAUUGCAAUUCUUUCGACGGUUCCUCCAAUUCCGACAUAUAGUCUUUUACCAUGUGCCGUUGCAAAAAAUGCUAUUCAGCAAUAAAACCAAAAUCGCUAAUGUGAUGAGGACUAGAUUUGUUUUAGUGGACAACAGAUAUAGUAUCCAUGUGUCGGUGAUGCCUUGUGCAAGGCCGCAUGUCCGCCGCGUAAUGCCUGCAGGAUUAUUGUAAAAAAAGAAAUCAGGCCAAGAGUAGACUUCAUUGCAGUAAUAUGGGUUGAUAGCGGUUCAGUUCUUCGACCGUCGUAACAGAGCGCGUCGCUCCGUCCAUUCACCUGCGACGGGGACACAUUCGCUACCUUCGGUACUUCACUGUGAAUUUAAUAUGCGUCGCACCAUUCUACAGAACAUAUAUUUUUGUACAGAAAAGUCCAAAAUAAGAAUUUGUUUAUAAUUCUCAACGUUGUAGAAACAAUUCUUUAAUCACAUCAAAAUUUAGUUAAAAAGAAUGAUCCUUUCCGAGUACAAUGGAAAAAAAUGCAUCUCAAUACGAGCAAUAGUUUCCGAGAUCAAAAUUCCUACGUUCCGCCCAUUUUCACAAAAAUGGGCAAAAAUCGUGGACGUAUACGUGAAAAAUGAAUACACAACAAAAAUCGUUCGAUCCAUUUAAUAUUUAUACAAAAAAAAUGUAAUUUUGUGUGGAAAAAUGAUAAGGCAUUUUGAAUAUGAAAUAACAAAAGCAUUCAAAUGAAUUAAAGUUAUAUAGUUUAAGUUAUGGUAAUGUGAGGACUGUUGUAAAAUUUAUUCAAAGCUGUGUGAAUAGCGCUAUCUACUUAAAAUUAUUCAAGGAACAGAUAGAGACUUACGCUCACAGAAUUGCUGAGACAAAAUAUAUAUUUCAGAAAAUCUUAAUGGAUAAGUCUCAAUCGAACAUUAUAUGAAGGUGGAAAAGUGUAUAAUGCAGUAUCCGAAUUAAAAUUUGCAAUUUUAGAAGCUCGAAAAAGCUUGGAUCAAAAGUAUAUAAAGGAUCUGUAUAGAAGUUUACCAAGAAGAAUAAUCGAAAUGAUACAUUGUAACGGACAGUCCACACAUUGCUAAAACUUAAACAUACUAUAUAAUUUUAUUUUAUUUGAAUGCUUUUAUUAUUUCAUAUUCAAAGUACCUUAUAUUAUCCACGCAAAAUUUCACACCUUUUGUAUAAAUAACAAAAGGAUCCAACGAUUCAUUUAAUUUCUUCAUAUAUUACGUCAAAACUAUUACUUUAUUUUAUUGUGUAAACUUUUUCCGCGUAUAUGUAACAAAUAUAUGUCUUUAUCUAACAAUCUUAA